GCUUCACCGAGGAGAUUGUGGGGAGGUUCAUCUGAAGACUGAUACCUAGGUUCAAUGCCUGGUUCUACCCCCAACUUCCUGUCUGAGUUUGACCCACAGGAAGCACUGCAACAAUGGUGGACAUGACGAUUUCUUCGAGGACAGUUUGUGGAGAGACAUAACGAAAAACAAUUCAAGUUGUUGGUGACAUUCACAGAGCAGCUGCAGAAGGUGGAAGGGCCAAGAAACAAGCACUGACAGAAUUGUAGUGAGUCGGUGUGGAUCCCCUCCUGCCCAGCAGAGGGAGCUCCCUCCCAGACACCCAAGUGGGCGGAGCUACCGCCACCUGUCCCUGCUACCUGGAGGAGCCGCCUGACCGCGCCGGGUCGGACUUCCCGGAGGAGCUGCCGGACCUGCCACCAAGCCCUGGUCCUGAGGAGCCUAUGCAGUUAGACUGGCCUGCAUCUGGUGCGAUCAACGAGAAUUCCCCCAGGAGUAGUGGUCAAAGAGGGAAAAGCUGCCUCCAGGGUGGAGAUGGAGAUGCUGUCUGCGGACUUUGACCAGUCAGGCACAAGUGCUAUCAGAAGACCUCAGUGUAGAGCUGUGUGGCUGAGGGAGGCCUUGAAAGAGUAUUUUACUACUCAGCCCAUUAACGUGGUGUGGUGGACUGUGCUCUAGCUAGCCCUGACCUUUUGGGGGCUGUUCGGAAUUGUG